GACGAACGCUGGCGGCGUGCUUAACACAUGCAAGUCGAACGGAAAGGCCCUGCUUUUGUUUGGUGCUCGAGUGGCGAACGGGUGAGUAACACGUGAGUAACCUGCCCGUGACCUUGGGAUAACUUCAGGAAACUAGGGCUAAUACCGGAUAGGAGCUCCUGCUGCAUGGUGGGGGUUUGAAAGAUUCGGCGGUUGGGCAUGCUCUUGGGGCUGAUCCGCUUGUUGGUGGGGUAGUGGCUUAGCACGGCUUUGGCGGGUAGCCGUCCUGAGAAGGUGACCGGCCCCAUUGGGCCUGAGGGAGGGCCCAGACGGCUACGUGAGGCAGCGGUGGAAAAUCUUGCACACUAGGCCGGAGCCUGAUACAACGAUGUCGGGUGCGGAAUGACGGCUUUCGGGGUAAAAACAGCGUUCGCAUGUAACGAAGCGUCAGUGACGGUAAUGGGUCAGGAAGCACCGGCUAACUACGUG
rnacentral:rRNA from 1 species